CCGAUUCGAACGUUAUCACUCGAUUGAAUGGGGCGUUAUCAGCAGUUAUCAGCCCAUAGAAAUGGGCCAGGAGGGGCCUCCUGCACCUACUAGUAGGCUCAGAAGGCCGUGAUCAUCCAUCCAAAUGGUUGAUCACCCACAAAUAUACAAGAGAAGACUCCAGAUCCAAUCCCAGAAUUCCUGCUCACCGGUAAUCGGAAGUCUACCGGACGAAUGCGGGAACGUUGCGAUAUUUCCUGCUUAAUAUUUUCAGGCACAAUGAAUGAUAUUAAGGGCAGGUGCGCCACAUUGGGGGAAGAUGCAAAGCAGAAAUACAUUCAAGAGGCAGCAGCACUGAGGGCAUAUGGGCAGGCGCAGGACCUAAACCCUGAGAUGAGGGAUGCCCAAAUUACAAUGCACUUAAAGAAGCUGAAGUUAGAUGUUUGGAAACAGGAUUCAUUUGCUAAGCAUUAGUGGUAUUCUUAAAGUAUUAGAUGGAAGGAUGAUCAACAGCAAUUGUGGUGUGUGCAGAACAUUGUGUUAGACAACUGGAUUGUUUAUCUCUAGUUUUUAUCAUAAUUUCAAAUGAGUUCGUUACAAAAAAAUAUUCCAGCUGAUUUUUGUUUACAAGGCUAUCAACAUCAAAUAUUCUCACAUUGAAGAAAUUGUCAAAGACUCAUACCACCAUAUCAAACUUGAAGCAGCUGAAGAAAAAAGUGGUCAUGAGAUUUGUUAAAUUAAAAUGUAGUUACCCCUCUGUUUCAGGUUUGAUUUACAUCCAUUUCUGAAACGAAAAACCCAGAGUUUUCCUAAAGAUCUGAGAUGAAUUGAUGUACAAUACCCACAUAUUCCUUUGGCAACAGUUAAAAAUGAACAAGCUGCCUUUGAGAUGUUGCUUUAAAUAUAGUGAUGAGUAUGAUUUAAACUAACUGGCUUGACUUUCAAAAUAUUUGUGUUUUUUCUUUGGUAGAUGGAGGCAAUUUGUGCUGUGUCUGCCGCAUCCAUUUUUAUGAUAAGAAGAAGAAUGCAAGAAAGAAGUGGCAUUCAUGGUCUCAGUGCACAGUGUGCCAAUCAUGGUCACACACAGCAUGUGGCUUUAAAAAGAACAUGUGCCUUCACUGUCAGGGUCAAGACACCAUGCAAACACCCUGAAGAUGUAUCUUGUUACUUGUUUGGGUUGUUUUUACUGUGUUGACGGCCCCCAACCCAUCCAUACAAACACACACACACAAUACAUACAUAUGCUGCAAAUUUAUUGUAAUGACCACACUUCACACGUAAGAAGAAAAUUGUGAUCUUUUUGUUAUUUUCAUUCACCCCAUUUUUAUUUAUUAUUGUUGUUUGUUGGCACCAUCAAUGUGUUCUCCUUUAUACAGGACUUAUGUGGGGACCAAUAAAGUUAUAUUGUACUGAA